AAUCAACACUUCAUGUUUUCAAUUAAACUCUAUGUCCAAUUGAAGCCCUCCCAUAUCAUAAUAUACAUACAACAUGUAGAAACAGGCACUUUUCUAAACUAGUACCUAACAACUCUGACAUUCACAAAGGAAACCACAAAGAUUUUGCUUUACAACAGAAGAACAAAAUAGCCGGUAUUCUUCAUCAAGCAUCUGAGAGCUAACAUUCUUCACCAUCUCUUGUAUACACCGGUAUUUCCCAUUUCUUGGUAUUCUUUUUAGGAUCAUCGCUGAGGCUGAGAUCAUUAUCGUCUUCUUUCAUUGUUUUGAUAAAUGUUUUUGCUCCCAUCAAAAUAAGCCUUUCUACCAUGAAGAGCUCGUAAUUGUUUUCAAUCAGUGGAUCCAAAAUGCUGCUAUAAUUCGAGGAAUACGCCAGCUUGUACCUCACAGCUAGAGGAGAAAAGUAACCUGGUGUCCUCUCAUUCGAAGCAAUAAAAAGGGUUCGCCCAGGCGGGACCCAUUUUGCUAUUCUGCAUAGAAUAAACUCUGCACGUGUAUCCCUGUCCAAAUGAGGGUGCAAACUUCGUUCAACCCCAAACCUGUCCUUUCUUGUCUUCAGAACAUCACCUCUUCGAACAUGCAUAGCAUCAUAAUCACCAAGCAGCUUCUUGAUUUCUUCUGCUGCAUAUCGUAGUUUUUCCGCAGCCAUUGAAGGAAGAAACGAA
rnacentral:misc_RNA from 1 species